AUUAAUGAUGAUUUUAAAAUUCUUCACUUUGACCUGAUUGUCUUGAUGAAAAUUGUUUGUCUGAUA
ensembl:snoRNA small nucleolar RNA SNORD37